rnacentral:tRNA from 1 species
CCCAUAGCUCAGUUGGUCAGAGCUGGGGACUCAUAAUCCCUAGGUCGCUGGUUCAAGUCCAGCUGGGCC